rnacentral:snoRNA from 1 species
AAAGCAACAGCUGCUUCCUCCGGCUGCAGGUGUCUAUCCUUCGACCAUAACCUCUGUGGUUUGGUCUGGGAUGGAGCACCCAUCUGUGGUUGUUGGAUUCUGGCUGUGGUGUGUGAU